rnacentral:rRNA from 1 species
UACAGAGGUCUCAAGCGUUGUUCGGAUUCAUUGGGCGUAAAGGGUGUGUAGGUGGCGCGCUAAGUCGGGUGUGAAAUUUCGGAGCUUAACUCCGAAACUGCAUUCGAUACUGGCGUGCUUGAGGACUGGAGAGGAGACUGGAAUUUACGGUGUAGCAGUGAAAUGCGUAGAUAUCGUAAGGAAGACCAGUGGCGAAGGCGGGUCUCUGGACCGGCAUUGACGCUGAGGUGCGAAAGCGUGGGGAGCAAACAGG